rnacentral:lncRNA from 1 species
CAUUUGCUCUGUCAUCUCAGGACUAGAAGCCAUCAGCCAGCGUACGCCCUCAGAAAACUCUCUUCCCUUCUCGCGGGUCCGCCUGGCUCCCGGAGGCGGCGGUGCCAGGCUGCCGGAGUUAGCCAGCGGCAGGCUGCGGGCGCCCGUCCCUCCGGUUCACCCUUUCACCCCUCCUUCACCCCCGGAGCGCCAGGCGGGUGCCGCGGGUUUUCCGCCCACUCGGAAGGCAGUGCUGGCGAGACCAGGAAUUGCAGGGCCUCUCCGCUUUGGCGAGCUCUGGAAUCCGAGUCCUCCCCACCCCAGCCACUCUGCUGGGGCGCUAGGGGCUCGAAAAAGCCUGGGGUUGGCUGAAAGACACUCGGAUUAGAGACGCAGCCAGCCUCCAGGGAGGUCUGAACUUGUCUUCGACCUCCCCGAACCCCUCCGCCUCUGCGCUGGGAGACGCCCAGCAGCCGGGCGGGCCCGGGACGUGUAGAGCCAGAGCACUCCGCAGCGGAGGCAGCGCGCGGCACGGCCG